GCAGCCGCUGCUGCAUAUGCUCCUGGUGUUUGCUCAUCAACAGAAGGAAGGCACAGACAAGCUAUUCUCACUCACCCUUUCGAGGAAAAGAAUUGAAACCCAUCAAAAGCAAGAACUGCUUCCAGAAUCUUCUUCAGCAAGGGAGGAGAGUCAGAAGCUGUAGAUGAAGCCAAACCUAAGGAAAGUGCCCGACAGGAUGAGGGUAAAGAAGACCCCGAGGCUGACCAAGAACAUGCCUGAACUUUAAGAAACGGCUUUCCACGUUGCCCCCACCUGAACCCUGUCUCUCCUGCCCUUUCUCAGAUCCACUCUGAAGUUUCCUCUCCUGUCCUGCUCACGUGUGUGAGCCUGUCCUCUCCUACCUAUGAGCCCUCUCUCUCUGUGUGGCAAACAUUAAAAAAAAAAAAAAGCAGGAAAGAUCCCAAGUCCAACAGUGUGGCUUAAACAUUUGUUUCUUGGUGUUGUUAUGGCGAGUUUUUGGUAAUGAUGAUGCAGUCAUCUUGGGAAAUUCUUGCACUGUACCCCGGUUUUUUGAUCUGGUGCGUGUGGCCCUG
rnacentral:lncRNA from 1 species